rnacentral:lncRNA from 1 species
UUUAAAUCAACUACUAAUUAUUUAACUUUAAUAAUUUUUUAAAUUGAUAUUUUUUCUGGUAAAUUUAUAACAAAUCUUUUUCUUGGACAAAAAUUUAAAGUUUUAUAAUCUUUUUUUUAUUUUACGUGUAGAAUUUUCGCCUUUAUCUAUCCAAUUAUAAACGAAUCAAUACAAAUCUACAAUAAAAAUGUGGUAAGCAACCAACGUGCUGAAGAUUCUGUAGUAGAUGAAAGCGUUAAAAGUCAUUUUUCUAUAGCCAUCUGUGAAGUGUCUUGUGUUUUUCUAACUCCUCAGAAGAUUUUUUUCCUCCUUCUGCUCUACUCACAUAGUGUAAUGUGUCUUAGCUGACGUUAGACCCUGCUGGUUAUUUCCCAAGCUGGCGAUGUAUGUCUGGCGAUGAAAGACUAAUGGAACUGAUGACAUUCGUUGAAUGGCGAGUGACACAAACAGAAAAAUAAAAUAACGAAACACCCUCAUUCCCCAUACUUCUGUUUCUCUCUCGCCAUUCCUCACGGUAUAAUUAUCUCUAGCAAUCGAAGAGACAUUGGGAGUCUUCAAUUCUUUGCGUGUAGCAAACAUUUAUUUCUUGUCAUUAAUCGAUGGACGGAAGCCAAGCAAUCAACGGUCAGCAGUCCCUCCGGUACUUAGACGUGAAAGACACUUCGAGUGUACCAAUCACUAAAAAUAACUUUAGAUAAUUUUUAGAAAUCGGAAACAAUUUAAAAUUGCAUAAUCUAAUAGCAUUUUGGUAGUAUAGUCGAGGUACUAUUAGGUAUGUGCAAUCAGAAUCAUAUUUCGAUGUAUUCGUUACUCUUUUAUUGUCAUCUGCAUACGUAACUGCAACCUAACGGAUUCGUUUUGUUAUAUAUCAGAGAAGAUGCAGACUGUAGCAGGUAGGCGAAUGUCUAGACAGAGGCAGACGGCUGGUCCCCCAAUCGAGCCCCACUCCCCGUCGGUAUUGUACUCGCAAGCGAUGGGACGCGACGUUCUUUCCUUUUAUCCUCUGAGAGAGGCCAGACUUAGCCUACUUUUGAUACUAGAUUUUUCCAUCCCGAGACAAUCAAAAAUUCUCGUCAUAUUGCGAGGGAUCGUUCACAUUUCAAACGAAAAAAAAAGAAACCACUCCAAUAAAUUUUACUGACUUUAACACAUUCUGAAUCGUUUGUGAUAUCUUUAAAACGAAAACUCGAUUAUCUGGAAACUGACUAAGCAAUGAGGUGCAGUAUUAUAUGCUAUAAACCUGUAGGCUAUAUAAAAAAAAAAAAAAAUCUACUAUAAAUCAGUUAAUGUACAGAAAAUUAAGUUAUGCACUGAUUUCAAUUUUAUCUUGACAAAUGUAAC